CUUGAUGAAGUCGGUGCUUCUGAUGCGACCCCAGGUCAGGCGGGAUUACCC
rnacentral:rRNA from 1 species